GGAAGGGACUUGGAGAUCGCCUGCUCCUGGCCGCAACUGAACCCACGGCUUCUCCCUGCCUUCCCGGGCCAAGGAAUCUUUUCCCUCACUCAGCUACCCGCAUGCCAGCUGCCACCUUUUUGGAGAAGGACCACACCUGUGCUUAUUCUCGCUUUGGAGGAGAGAUGCAGGACUGAAAGCUCUGAGAAUGGUGGACUCUGCAGAGAAGAGGAGUUUAAUUGUGUUUCUGGAACGGCUCAGCGUUCUAGAAGUUGAGAUUUACAACACGCUGAAGGAACUGGUAUAUAUAAAUGACCUGCUAAUUCAAGACUUCUUCUGUUGGAGCAUGGGCCUUCUGUUGGAGCAUAGGCCUCUCCUGAGAUGAACUUUCAGAGCUGUGAAGGACCUGAGGGAUGUGCAUGCUAGCCUACCCACCUCUGCCCCUGAAUGACAAGCACUGGGACUCAGGUUCUCCUUCACCGGACAGCCUGUUCCACUGGUAGACUGCUGCAUUUCCAGAGAAUUCUUGGAAUUGUAUCCUCAAGUAACUUCUACUCACUG